UUUCGUGCUGAAUCACCCUUUUGGGAACACGCCUCUUGGUCGGAUUUUCCCACCCCAAAUCUUCAUUUCUCUCAGGAGAGCGCUGUGGAGCUUUGGGGACGUGGGGGAACAGAAAAACCUUUUCCCUAAUGGCUCGUAUUGCUGCUCAGUGACCGCCUGCCAAAUUCAAUGUCGGGAGAUGCUGAGGUCUGUGGGGCCGGGAGUCGGUGCCUAAUGAAGGCACGUCAGGCUGGGAAUGAGGUUUUUAUACCCCGCGCAGCAGAACUCCAGGAUGUUAUUUAUAGCUGCUCACUUGCACCACGAGCACCUGUGGAGACUUUAUUCUCCAGCCCCUCAGUGGAAUCACAAAUGACAGAAAGAGCUGAAGAUGUAAUGACCCUUGAAGUAGGAGAAAUUAUUUACCAAACCGUAGAUAAGACGACAGAUCUCUCCUGCACUGUGUUUAGGGCAUCCAAUCUAUUGCAGAUGUUGCCAUAGUCAUGCUGGUUAAUUUAAAAUUGCCCUGCCUUCCUUGUGUCUCAAAUUCUUUUCUUGGGAAACUAAAUCCUUUCAUAACCUAAAUGCAGCAGAGGAGAUGAAAGCGGCUGGUCUGGGGAUGUAUAUGGCCAUUCCAAGGGAGCUCUGUGUAAUUGUUUUUUAAAUGGACAUGCUUGCUCUAUUUUUUUUUUUUUGGUCUGGUUCAUCCUGGUUUUGUUGUUUGUGAUAUGUCUUCUGACACAUGCUCUUUGCCUGGCAAUGAAAAGCUACCGAGAUUAAAAACCUUUGUGAAUUUAUAACCGGUGUAGUAAGAGCUCUUCUCAUUUUACUGACUUUGUGGCCUCCAUAGCAGACAUAAUGCUAUAAAGGGAUUAAAAAGGAAUGGCUACUAUUGGAUUUCUGGAAUAAUUUUCUCUCUGCAUGGGUCAAAAGAAUAAGGAUUAACAACAUUAUUAGAUAUUGGAGACAAUAGCCCAAUCUGUCUGCCUUUAGCUUUUAAAAUCUGUCUCUUAGCCGAGCAGGUGACUGUGAAAUAGAAGACUUGCCUCUCUCUUGAAAUGGACACGGUCCCUACUCCCAAAAAUCUUGUUCACUUCAGACCAAUUCCUCACUACGAAAUACCCAACAGGUCUUUCUCUACCAAAAUCAGACAAGGAUCCCAGUUUCAUCUUCAUAUGUGAGAGUCUGAUUUACAUUUGCAAGACAUAACGUGGUGAGUCCUAAUUUUUCAGGUGUGCUUUCAGCUGCGGUGCCAAGCAGCGAGUUGUGUAAAUCUCUCCGGUGUGGGCUUUACUUAUCAAUAAUCAAUCACGUGUGAGCAGUAAUUUUAGUUUUCCCCCUACUGAGACAAGGUUUUGGAAGCACUCAAGGGAUGUCCAACACAUGCAGGUGGAGAUAACCCUGGGGAUUAAUUUCACCCAUGGCUUUAUCAGGGCUCAGUGAGACCCACGGGACAGGAGAGGCUUUGUACCCACAGCUCCUGGAUUGCUCUUCCUGGUGGUGCUGCAAUCAAAGCUGUCAGGGAAAAUGAUCUACGGGCAGUAGCUUGAUUAUAUUUGUCCUGAGAUACUUCUGCACUAAAGGAUGUUCAAGUUUUAAUCAGUCUGCAUUAACUGUGGUGCUCCUGUAGCUGAUCGUGGAAAGAAAGCAACUGUUGAUUGCACUAAAAGCAUUAAGUGACCUCUGCUAAUUAAAAGAUAAUGUCAGUGCAACUGAGUGGAGUGCCUGGGUCUUUAGCCUUUUAGAUAGACACUAAAUGAAAAUCAAAGGCUUUGGAGGAAAUAUUUGUGGUAAAGUUAAGAGACUUGUUUGUGGAAAUGGCAGGUCAUGUUUCAUAAAAGGGAUUUAAUCCAUUAAUGAUAUCUAAUAUGUCGUAGAACCAGCAAUUUGCUGAAAAAGAACAAGUUCCCUCCCCAGUUGUGGGAUGUCUUUACUUACCCUGCCUUAACUGAAGCAUUUUGCCUGGGAAGCUUAUAGUGAAUCCAGAGUGUCCCUCAGUUGUCCAUAAAUAAACCAAAAGCUUUUUCUCGCGAAUGCAGGUCACCUUUUAAAUGACUCAGACGUUCACUGUUAAGUUCUGUGUUCAGUAAUAGGGUAGUCAGUGUCUACAAAUGCAGCCUUGCCUUUUUUUUCAUUAAUCUUGGUGUCUGGGAGAGAAAACAAAGCAGGUGGAAUAACUAUGUACGAGCACAUCCCUCGCUCCUUGGAGACGGUCCCUGGUAAAUUUUAAUCUUCUGCUUUCUGUAUUUAUACAGAUGCAGAACGGAAGCCCUUUGGACAGAGAAGCAAUGGCACAACUUCUCUAUGAAAGCACAUGGAGAUGCUGUUGUGUCCUCCAAGGAGCGCCAGUGGCCGGAGAGCUCUUGGAGGAACGCCCAAAGCAGCUGGUAAAAGUGUGGGAUCAUUUUUCAGGCUUCCAGCUUUCCUCGAAGAAAAUGAGAUGAUCUGAAGAAAAGAGCAGGCACUCAGAGAAUGGACAUGGGCAGUGCCAUGGCAAGUUGGAAAGAGAUGCUAAACAGCACAGAGGCAAGCUAUCUCCCAACGUGUCAAUAUCUUAUUGGCAAGGAAGUACCCAGCCCCGGAGCUGGAAUGGAGGCCCCGUUUCCAGCCCUGGAAUGGUGGGAUUGUGUUACAGCAAAGAAAGACAUCUGAUCGAGUAUCUCCUGAUGGAACAGACAGGCUGUGACAGUCUGAUCUGAACACACCUUCACUACAAAAACAACUCUGAGGUAUCUGCGAGUCAGCUGGAAUAACGGCUGGGAGAAGUGGGGGAGGCAGGGAUGGGGUCAGGGAGUUUCUCCCGGUUCCAUCCCAGCCUGCUGCUGGUGUUCUGCUUUGCACAUCCCAUCCGCCUUCACCUUCCACCUCCCCACCGCUGGGUGAGCUCCUCUGCUUGGGGAGUCUCUGCCACAGUGUCCUAGGGUGACUGUGUAUUCCCAAUUGUCUGUUGGGUGCAAAGGGGAGGGGAAGCGCCGUUUGUUUUUCCCCAGGAAAACUCUGCUCAUCGGAGUG